rnacentral:rRNA from 1 species
GUAGUGACCUGCGGAGGAUCAUUACCGAGUGCGGGAACCCAGUCGGGUCCCAAUCUCCCACCCGUGUCUACCACACCUAGUGUUGCUUUGGCGGGCCCACUCCUCCGGUGUUCCGCCGGGGGGGUCGUCCCGGGGCGCGGUGUGCCCCCGGGGCCCGUGCCCGCCAGAGGCACUCACUGUGAACGCUUUUGUGAAUGCGAGGAUUGUCUGAGUGACGAAAUGCAAUCGUUCAAAACUUUCAACAAUGGAUCUCUUGGUUCCGGCAUCGAUGAAGAACGCAGCGAAAUGCGAUAAGUAAUGUGAAUUGCAGAAUUCCGUGAAUCAUCGAAUCUUUGAACGCACAUUGCGCCCUCUGGUAUUCCGGGGGGCAUGCCUGUCCGAGCGUCAUUGCGAACCCUCAAGCACGGCUUGUGUGUUGGGCCGCCGUCCCCUCGUUUGGAGGGGACGGGCCUGAAAGGCAGCGGCGGCGUCGCGUCCGGUCCUCGAGCGUAUGGGGCUCUGUCACGCGCUCAAGGAGGGGUCCGGCCGGGGCCAUAGCCUCUGAAGGUCAAUUCUUCCAAGGUUGACCUCGGAUCAGGUAGGAGUACCCGCUGAACUUAAGCAUAUCAAUAAGGCGGA